UCCCUGAUUUUCGGCGGACGGGUGAGUAAUGCCUAUGAAUCUGCCUGGUAGUGGGGGAUAACGUUCCGAAAGGAACGCUAAUACCGCAUACGUCCUACGGGAGAAAGCAGGGGACCUUCGGGCCUUGCGCUAUCAGAUGAGCCUAGGUCGGAUUACCUAGUUGGUGAGGUAAUGGCUCACCAAGGCGACGAUCCGUAACUGGUCUGAGAGGAUGAUCAGUCACACUGGAACUGAGACACGGUCCAGACUCCUACGGGAGGCAGCAGUGGGGAAUAUUGGACAAUGGGCGAAAGCCUGAUCCAACCAUGCCGCGUGUGUGAAGAAGGUCUUCGGAUUGUAAAGCACUUUAAGUUGGGAGGAAGGGCAUUAACCUAAUACUUUAGUGUUUUGACGUUACCAACAGAAUAAGCACCGGCUAACUUCGUGCCAGCAGCCGCGGUAAUACGAAGGGUGCAAGCGUUAAUCGGAAUUACUGGGCGUAAAGCGCGCGUAGGUGGUUUGUUAAGUUGGAUGUGAAAGCCCCGGGCUCAACCUGGGAACUGCAUCCAAAACUGGCGAGCUAGAGUACGGUAGAGGGUGGUGGAAUUUCCUGUGUAGCGGUGAAAUGCGUAGAUAUAGGAAGGAACACCAGUGGCGAAGGCGACCACCUGGACUGAUACUGACACUGAGGUGCGAAAGCGUGGGGAGCAAACAGGAUUAGAUACCCUGGUAGUCCACGCCGUAAACGAUGUCAACUAGCCGUUGGAAUCCUUGAGAUUUUAGUGGCGCAGCUAACGCAUUAAGUUGACCGCCUGGGGAGUACGGCCGCAAGGUUAAAACUCAAAUGAAUUGACGGGGGCCCGCACAAGCGGUGGAGCAUGUGGUUUAAUUUGAAGCAACGCGAAGAACCUUACCUGGCCUUGACAUGCUGAGAACUUUCCAGAGAUGGAUUGGUGCCUUUGGGAACUCAGACACAGGUGCUGCAUGGCUGUUGUCAGCUUGUGUCGUGAGAUGUUGGGUUAAGUCCCGUAACGAGCGCAACCCUUGUCCUUAGUUACCAGCACUUCGGGUGGGCACUCUAAGGAGACUGCCGGUGACAAACCGGAGGAAGGUGGGGAUGACGUCAAGUCAUCAUGGCCCUUACGGCCAGGGCUACACACGUGCUACAAUGGUCGGUACAAAGGGUUGCCAAGCCGCGAGGUGGAGCUAAUCCCAUAAAACCGAUCGUAGUCCGGAUCGCAGUCUGCAACUCGACUGCGUGAAGUCGGAAUCGCUAGUAAUCGUGAAUCAGAAUGUCACGGUGAAUACGUUCCCGGCCCUUGUACACACCGCCCGUCACACCAUGGGAGUGGGUUGCUCCAGAAGU
rnacentral:rRNA from 1 species